GGUUGUCGUCAGCUCGUGUCGUGAGAUGUUGGGUUAAGUCCCGCAACGAGCGCAACCCUUAUCUUUAGUAGCCAGCAUUUCGGAUGGGAACUCUAGAGAGACUGCCGGGGAUAACUCGGAGGAAGUGGGGGAUGACGUCAAAUCAUCAUGCCCCCUUAUGAUUUGGGCUACACACGUGCUACAAUGGCGGAUACAAAGAGAAGCGAAGGGGCGACCUGGAGCAAACCUCAUAAAGUCCGUCCCAGUUCGGAUUGUAGUCUGCAACUCGACUACAUGAAGUUGGAAUCGCUAGUAAUCGCGAAUCAGAAUGUCGCGGUGAAUACGUUCUCGGGCCUU
rnacentral:rRNA from 1 species